GGGGUGGCGGUAUUCGUCCUACGGGGUAUUUGUCCUACCAACCGAACGUCACUUCGGGCAUGUUCGGUAGUCCUAAAAAUUCCUGUUUCAGGAAUUUUGUCCUGGCUAACGUACUAAAUCUGUCAACGUCGCAUACUUUUCAAUCUUGUUUUGUUUUGGAAUUUGACAAGAUUAACCUCAGAAAAAGUUUAAAAUUAUAAUUUUUAUGAACAUUGACGAAUAAUGUUAUGAAUAAUGUAAUAGAACCUGAUAUAAAAUAAUCCGGAAAUAUUUACAAAUAAAGCAUAAACAAAAUGAAAGUGAUAGCAACACGAUUACCUUUGAUAAUGUGUUUUUUAUAUAAGAAUACGUCUACAUGGGUUGAAAUCUCAGAAAAUAUUAAGCUAUCCACAAAUUCCUGAAAAUAAAUUAGCCGUGAUUUGCGGAAAAAAUGUUCUUAAUUAUUUUUCCCACAUGAUGUCCUUUCAGGUUCCAGGAAACAGCACGGGCAUGUAUUAGGCAUAAUAAGUAAUUAUAAAAAUAUGAGCAAAAAUGAGAUGGUUUAAAAGAGUGAAAAUUUUAAGGUUAAGAAAUCUGAAACUCAAAGGAAAACUGAUUAAAAACUGAUAAAUAAGUACCGUUAAACUGGAAAAGCAAACUACUAUACGCAUAAUACAAAAAACAAUUUAUCAUCUUUAAAACCAUAAGGCAUAGCCAUAGGAUAUAUGAUAUAUGAGAUAGCACAAGGACAUAUCGGCAAGCCUUAGGUUGGUGUUUACGUGUGAAGGUGUGAAUCGCUGUAGUGAUCUGGUCGU